CGCUGCUUCCUUACCUGCUGGUGGCUGCGUGUUGCUGACGGCGCUCCUGAUGCUGCUGCGUUCUUCUCCAGGAGGAUUAGACACUUCCUGAAUUACAUGUUGUCGGCCAUGAGGAGGGUUGUUUGCAUCUGAAUACUCUCAUGUUCAGAACGAGCAAUAAGAUGGGAGACUUUAUCAGAACUGCCCACUAAUUAACAGAAAUCACAAUAACUAUUGCAUAGGUAGCUUGUUAAUUAAUGGUCUAAGAUGCAAUUAAAUUACAAAUGCACAUCCUAAUUUACUAACCAACUUCUCUUAAUCCUGUGUAAUUUCAGAGGGAUCUCGUUAAAUCGAAAAGCAGAGUGAUCAGGGUGGCA
ensembl:lncRNA